UACGUAGGGUGCGAGCGUUAAUCGGAAUUACUGGGCGUAAAGGGUGCGCAGGCGGUUAUAUAAGACAGAUGUGAAAUCCCCGGGCUCAACCUGGGAACUGCGUUUGUGACUGUAUGACUAGAGUACGGUAGAGAGGGGUGGAAUUCCUGGUGUAGCAGUGAAAUGCGUAGAUAUCAGGAGGAAUAUCGAUGGCGAAGGCAGCCCCUUGGACCUGUACUGACGCUCAUGCACGAAAGCGUGGGGAGCAAACAGG
rnacentral:rRNA from 1 species